rnacentral:misc_RNA from 1 species
UUUUCGUAGGUGAACCUGCGGAAGGAUCAUUACAGACCUUCGACUCCCUCGGGGGCCAUCUACACCCCUUUACUACCAAAUAUUGUUGCUUUGGCUGGCCGCGGCCCUGCCGCCGCCGGCCCCGGCUGGCGAGCGCCCGCCAGAGGAUUUUAAAAUAUUGCUUGCAAUGUGUCUGAGCGAUACAACAUAUGCGAAAAACUUUCAACAACGGAUCUCUUGGUUCUA